rnacentral:rRNA from 1 species
UACGUAGGGACCGAGCGUUGUCCGGAAUCAUUGGGCGUAAAGAGCGUGUAGGCGGCCACUUAAGUCCUGCGUGAAAUCUUGCGGCUCAACCGCAAGCGGUCGUGGGAAACUGGGUGGCUAGAGUGCGGGAGAGGAGAGUGGAAUUCCUGGUGUAGCGGUGGAAUGCGCAGAUAUCAGGAGGAACACCCGUGGCGAAGGCGGCUCUCUGGAACGCAACUGACGCUGAGACGCGAAAGCGUGGGGAGGAAACAGG